AUUCAAGUAAGAAAAAAGAUUCCCAGCUGCACAAAGUAUAACAUAAUGCAUGACCACACAUGCCAAGUAAACUAAAAGACACUCAACUUGAUGCAACGAAUCCUUAUACUUAUACUCUGUUUUUUAAUCUUCUUCUUGGGCUUUCUUUUAUUUCUCUUCUUUUACUUAUUGGGCUUUAAACUACGUCUUAGUCGGUUCCUUUUCUCAAACAUGUUAAGGUUUUCUUUCUUCUUGUCGCCUCUAUAUAAAGGCUCUCUUGUAGUUGCAGAACUCAACUUAUUAUUGAAUUUAAAACGGAGCUUUAAGCUUCUCUUCUCUCUUGAAUCUCGGCUAUUCCAAGGAAUCAACAACUUUCAAGUUCGUCUUUGUUCGGUAUUCACAAGAAUCAACGAACUGCAUACACCCCUUUGUUCGGCCAUUCACAUCGAAUCAACGAGCUUAGGUUUUCUAUCAAGUCCCGCUGCGCCACAACUACCUAACGUAAAUG
rnacentral:sRNA from 1 species